UCUCCCUCCAUCAAAAGUCCUCCAUAGCCUUUGCUAGACCACGUUUCAUGUGACCUUUAGCUUUCUCCAACACUUCUUUACCUCGUUCCAACUUCCCCUCAAACUAUUGGAAAAGUAUUUGAUUUCCGGCUCAACUCUCCAUCCCUUUUCCUUCUGUGACCAUCAUCUUUGUGCCGCCAUGUAUCGGAGGGAAGACUGAAGAGUCGAUAGUGG
rnacentral:lncRNA from 1 species